GAUGAACGCUGGCGGCGUGCCUAAUACAUGCAAGUCGAGCGAACAGACGAGGAGCUUGCUCCUCUGACGUUAGCGGCGGACGGGUGAGUAACACGUGGAUAACCUACCUAUAAGACUGGGAUAACUUCGGGAAACCGGAGCUAAUACCGGAUAAUAUAUUGAACCGCAUGGUUCAAUAGUGAAAGACGGCUUUGCUGUCACUUAUAGAUGGAUCCGCGCCGCAUUAGCUAGUUGUUAAGGUAACGGCUUACCAAGGCAACGAUGCGUAUCCGACCUGAGAGGGUGUGCGGCCACAUUGGGAUGAAGGCACGGUCCAGGCUCCUAAGGUUGGCAGGUGGGGGGAAUCUUCCGGUAUGGGCGUAAGCCAGACGGAGCAACGCCGCGUGAGUGAUGAAGGUCUUCGGAUCGUAAAACUCUGUUAUUGGGGAAGAACAAAUGUGUAAGUUACUAUACUCGUCUUGACGGUACCUACUCAGAAAGCCACGGCUAACUACGUG
rnacentral:rRNA from 1 species